GGACACAUACCUUUUGUUAGAAUGAAAGACAUUCCUCAUAUUCCAUGUAAGUUGGCAAAUAAACAACCAUUCCUAUGUACUGUUGCCCAUUAGCCAGGCAAUCUAGACUUCCUUUUUAUGACAGUUCCAUAAAGACAACACAUGCCUUUCAACUCAUUUAUGUAGAUACCUGGGGUCCUUAUGCCACUUCCACUCACAAUGGAUGUAAAUAUUUCCUAACAAUAGUUGAUGAUUUUACUAGAGCUACUUGGACUCACCUUAUGGGGUCCAAGAGCAAUGCCUUUCCCCUUAUCAAAGCUUUCAUUGCCAUGAAUAGUUGAUGAUUUUACUAGAGCUACUUGGACUCACCUUAUGGGGUCCAAAAGCAAUGCUUUUCCCCUUAUCAAAGCUUUCAUUGCCAUGAUUAAAACUCAAUUCAAAACUGUUGUACAAACAAUUAGAAGUGACAAUGCCUUUGAACUUGGGUCCAGUGGUUCAGGCAGCAGCUUCUUUGCUGAAAAUUGAAUAAUACACCAAACCUCCUAUUCUCACACACUACAACAAAAUGGUGUGGUUGAAAGAAAACACAGAUAUCUGUUAGAAACCUCCAGAGCCUUACUUUUUCAUUCCCAAUUACCCCUUAGAUUCUGGGGAGAUUGUGUGCUUACUGCAACCUAUCUCAUAAAUAGAUUUCCUUCCAAACUACUUAACAAUAUGUCACAUUUGGAGUUGCUUUUUGGACAAAUUCCUUCUUAUAGCCAUUUUAUUACAUUUGGUUGUCUUUGUUUUGCUUCAGUCCCC
rnacentral:lncRNA from 1 species